GGCCCGCCCGCCGCUCCGCGCUGCCCGCCGCGCCUGCACCUGUCUCAGCGCCCGGGAACGCGGCGGGAGCGCGGUAGCCCCGCUGAUGGGGCUGCGUGUGGCACCUUCCCCCGGGGAGGGGAGAAGGAAGAGGAGGAGGAGAGCCGGCGAGGCAGUGGCCGUUCUCGGAGGUUUUCAUGAUGCUUCUGUUAGUGUGCUGCUGCAGCCGGUGCAGAUCCAAAUGCCGCGGCUACAAAUGCUCGUUACUUUCUCAUGCUGGAUCCUUCAAAUCCAAGAGCUGCUGGCAGUUUCCAAGGCAACCACCUGUGGAAUAAUUAAAAAGGAUGAAGUGUUAGUGUGCCAGAUAGAAGGAAUUCUUGCCUGGAGAGAGCACCUCAUUUUCAUCUGUCUUGAAGAAUGAAAUGUGUGUCUGCCAGCAAAGUUAAGAAGAAGAAAUGAUAAUCAAGUUGUACGAGUGAACCAGGACAAUCUAAAAAGUGACUCAAAGCUGGAGCUAGCAGAUGGCUGCAUCGUUCGCUGGUGGCCACAACCUUACAAGAUGAGUUGUGGAAUUUCCAUCAAAGUGUCGGGAUUAGGCUCAGGAUAUGCCGGUGGCACAGAGCAACCCCGGGAGAGGGUGGAAGAAGAGGAAAUCAUUCAUAGCGACUCAUCUUGUGGUUGGUGGGCAAGUUUUCAGCUGGUGAUUUAUCAACAAAGUAUUUUACAGGAUCGUAGUUAAAAGCUCUCCUUAAAACAAAAACUACACCCUGCGCGAUAGGGAAAGUAAAAGCAUCUCAGUUUCCAAAUGAUGAAGGAAUAACCGAAAGAGCUGGUUCUUGGAAUAGUAGCUCCAUUGGCACUCAUUGGUGAUUUCCUGUGCAUUUGCUGCAAGAAUCACUCUGUGAUUGCGCCUGAAAUGCACACGCAGGAUAUUCUGUGCUUGCAUGGAACGAGGCAGACCGGGGUAUUACGUGAAGUGCUCUUCUCCGUGCCACUCCACCUCCGGGAUGCGAAACGAGGACGUGGGCUGUGUGGGGAGCUGGCAGCAGCGUGCAAGGUGCACAAGGAGCAGUUUCCUGACUGUCUGUUCAAUUAUUCAGAAGAUGCCUGUGAGCGUACGGGUAUGACUGGCAAAGGAGAGCCGGUUCUAGUACCUGCUGCCUGUGGGAUUUAUUUUGUGCCAGGAAGGAGCUGAGGUGCUGACGACUGAAUAACACCUAAACUUUUUUCUUUCUGAUGCUUCUUCUGAUAAUGCAUUGCCACUCCUUUCAUUUUGAGAAUAAGAAAUGAGCCGCUCGCGGAGCAGGAAGAAGCUUCAUAAACACGGCCGCUCUCAUCCUCCCAAUCUUCUGUUACCUGUAGGGGCAGGUGCAGGAAGGUACUGCAGGAGAGGAGGCUCAGUAACCAACUCAAGGCCUGGGAUUACACAAAGGAGCAGUAUAUUUUAGGUACUUUAGAGAAAGUUCAGAACAACCUAGUCAGAAAGGUGUGUUGCUCAGAAAUAUAUCCAUUUCUUUUGGCUUAUUUCACUUCAGUUUUGCCUCAUGGAGUUCUGAGCCCUUCAGCUAACAACACAAGAUUGAAAUAGGCUGUCUGAAGACUGUGCAUAUUAUCCCAUUUGUUCCUUGCUGUUGUAAAGUAGAACUUAUUUCUGGAGAGAAUAUCUUCUAAUACGUUCGUCACCAGACUUUUUCUGUUUGCUUGUUGCUCAAGAGAAAGUGAAGGGAACCACUGGCUUGAUCUCAGUAAAAAGGAAAGCAGAUGAUGCUGUUAGCUGUGGGGACUGUGUAAUGCUGAGGUAGUGUCUGUAGGAAAACAACCAGACAGCCUUAAGAGAAGUUAGAGGGGAGGUUAGUUAGUUAUUUUUAGCAUGCUGAAACCAUUGAAAAUGCUGAAAUGGGGGUAGGGCAAGGAGAGUGGUGAAAAAUAGAUCACCCAUCCCUUGUGAUUCUGUGGUUUUGUCUGAAUCUGGAGGGUUUUUUGUUCUCCUUAUGGUCAGCCA